rfam:Dipodomys ordii contig_30332, whole genome shotgun sequence.
GGGAAGAUGGCUCAGUGGUAGAGUGCUUGCCUUGCAUGCAUGAGGCCUUGGGUUCGAUUCCUUAUCACUACA